AUUGAACGCUGGCGGCAGGCUUAACACAUGCAAGUCGAACGAGUGGCGGACGGGUGAGUAAUGCGUGGGAAACUGGCAGAUGGAGGGGGAUAACUACUGGAAACGGUAGCUAAUACCGCGCACCAUAGGAUGAGCCCAAGUGGGCUUAGGUAGUUGGUGAGGUAAAGGCUCACCAAGCCGACGAUCGAAAGCUGGUAUGAGAGGAUGACCGGCUACGCUGGAACUGAGACACGGCCCGGACUCCAACGGGAGGCGGAAGUGGAGAAUAUUGCGCAAUGGGCGCAACCCUGACGCAGCCAUGCCGCGUGAAUGUAUCAGGCCUUCGGGUUGUAAAGUUCUUUCAGUAGGGAGGCGUUAACUGCAUAAGAAGCACCGGCUAACUCCGUGCCAGCAGCCGCGGUAAUUC
rnacentral:rRNA from 1 species